rnacentral:tRNA from 1 species
GGUAGCUCAGUGGUAGAGCAGUAGUCUUAUGCGCAGGUUCGAAUCCUGCUC